AUCGAACGCUGGCGGCAGGCCUAACACAUGCAAGUCGAGCGAGCGGCGGACGGGUGAGUAAUGUCUGGGAAACUGCCUGUUGGCGGGGGAUAACCACUGGAAACCGUAGCUAAUACCGUACACCAUCCGAUUUGCCCAGAUGGGGUUAGCUAGUGGGUGGGGUAACGGCUCACCUAGGGGACGAUCCCUAGCUGGUCUGAGAGGAUGACCAGCCACACUGGCACUGAGACACGGUCCAGACUCCUACGGGAGGCAGCAGUGGGGAAUAUUGCACAAUGGACGCAAGCCUGAGGCAGCCAGGCCGCGUGUGUGAAGAAGGCCUUCGGGUUGUAAAGCACUUUCGGCGGGGAGGCGUUACCCGCAGAAGAAGCACCGGCUAACUCCGUGCCAGCCGCCGCGGUAAUAC
rnacentral:rRNA from 1 species